UUGAUAAGUAGAUGGAUAGACAGGAGGUUUAAUAAUGUUUAAUAACUUUGAUAAGUAGAUGGAGAGACAGGAGGUUUAAUAACUUUGAUAGGUAGAUGGAGAGACAGGAGGUUUAAUAAUAUUUAAUAACUUUGAUAAGUAGAUGGAGAGACAGGAGGUUUAAUAACUUUGAUAAGUAGAUGGAUAGACAGGAGGUUUAAUAAUAUUUAAUAACUUUGAUAAGUAGAUGGAUAGACAGGAGGUUUAAUAAUAUUUAAUAACUUUGAUAAGUAGAUGGAGAGACAGGAGGUUUAAUAACUUUGAUAAGUAGAUGGAUAGACAGGAGGUUUAAUAACUUUGAUAAGUAGAUGGAUAGACAGGAGGUUUAAUAAUGUUUAAUAACUUUGAUAAGUAGAUGGAGAGACAGGAGGUUUAAUAACUUUGAUAGGUAGAUGGAUAGACAGGAGGUUUAAUAAUAUUUAAUAACUUUGAUAGGUAGAUGGAGAGACAGGAGGUUUAAUAAUAUUUAAUAACUUUGAUAAGUAGAUGGAGAGACAGGAGGUUUAAUAACUUUGAUAGGUAGAUGGAGAGACAGGAGGUUUAAUAACUUUGAUAGGGAGAUGGAUAGACAGGAGGUUUAAUAACUGUGAUAGGUAGAUGGAGGUUUAAUAACUUUGAUAGGUAGAUGGAGGUUUAAUAACUUUGAUGGGUAGAUGGAUAGACAGGAGGUUUAAUAAUGUUUAAUAACUUUGAUAGGUAGAUGGAUAGACAGGAGGUUUAAUAACUUUGAUAGGUAGAUGGAGAGACAGGAGGUUUAAUAAUGUUUAAUAACUUUGAUAGGGAGAUGGAGAGACAGGAGGUUUAAUAACUUUGAUAGGGAGAUGGAGAGACAGGAGGUUUAAUAACUUUGAUAGGUAGAUGGAGAGACAGGAGGUUUAAUAAUGUUUAAUAACUGUGAUAGGUAGAUGGAUAGACAGGAGGUUUAAUAACUUUGAUAGGUAGAUGGAGAGACAGGAGGUUUAAUAACUUUGAUAGGUAGAUGGAGAGACAGGAGGUUUAAUAACUUUGAUAGGUAGAUGGAUAGACAGGAGGUUUAAUAACUUUGAUAGGGAGAUGGAGAGACAGGAGGUUUAAUAACUUUGAUAGGUAGAUGGAUAGACAGGAGGUUUAAUAACUGUGAUAGGUAGAUGGAUAGACAGGAGGUUUAAUAACUUUGAUAGGUAGAUGGAUAGACAGGAGGUUUAAUAACUUUGAUAGGUAGAUGGAUAGACAGGAGGUUUAAUAACUUUGAUAGGUAGAUGGAGGUUUAAUAACUUUGAUGGGUAGAUGGAUAGACAGGAGGUUUAAUAACUUUGAUAGGUAGAUGGAGGUUUAAUAACUUUGAUAGGUAGAUGGAGGUUUAAUAACUUUGAUAGGUAGAUGGAGGUUUA